UACGUAGGGUGCGAGCGUUAAUCGGAAUUACUGGGCGUAAAGCGUGCGCAGGCGGCGCGUUAAGACAGGUGUGAAAGCCCCCGAGCUUAACUUGGGAAUUGCGCUUGUGACUGGCGUGCUGGAGUGUGGCAGAGGGAGGUGGAAUUCCACGUGUAGCAGUGAAAUGCGUAGAGAUGUGGAGGAACACCGAUGGCGAAGGCAGCCUCCUGGGCCAGCACUGACGCUGAGGAGCGAAAGCCAGGGGAGCAAACGGG
rnacentral:rRNA from 1 species